AUUGAACGCUGGCGGCAGGCCUAACACAUGCAAGUCGAACGAGCGGCGGACGGGUGAGUAAUGUCUGGGAAACUGCCCGAUGGAGGGGGAUAACUACUGGAAACGGUAGCUAAUACCGCAUACCAUCGGAUGUGCCCAUAUGGGCUUAGCUAGUAGGUGGGGUAACGGCUCACCUAGGCGACGAUCCCUAGCUGGUCUGAGAGGAUGACCGGCCACACUGGAACUGGGACAGGGUCCGGAUUCCAACGGGAGGCAGCAGUGGGGAAUAUUGUACAAUGGGCGCAAGCCUGAUGCAGCCAUGCCGCGGGAAUGAGGAAGGCCUUCGGGUUGUAAAGUACUUUCAGCGGGGAGGCGUUACCCGCAGAAGAAGCACCGGCUAACUCCGUGCCAGCAGCCGCGGUAAUAC
rnacentral:rRNA from 1 species